GCCAGCAUGGCACAGUGGUUUGAGUGCUGGACUACGAUUCUGGGGACCAGGGUUCGAUUCCCUGCUUGGCC
rnacentral:tRNA from 1 species